rnacentral:misc_RNA from 1 species
UAGGUUUGACAUGCUGGUGAAAGCCCCUGUUUCCAGAGGCUUUCACCAGCAUGUCAAACCUAGGUAAGGUUCUUCGCGUUGCUUCGAAUUAAACCACAUGCUCCACCGCUUGUGCGGGCCCCCGUCAAUUCCUUUGAGUUUCAGCCUUGCGGCCGUACUCCCCAGGCGGGGCACUUAUCGCGUUAGCUACGGCACUGACGGGGUCGCUCCCCCCAGCACCUAGUGCCCAUCGUUUACGGCGUGGACUAC